AGCAUCUGAGAUGAAGUAGG
rnacentral:rRNA from 1 species